CUCAGUGUCUUCUUAGUUGAAUGUCAACAAGGGAAUCAAUUUCAUCAUGAAGAACUACUCUUUGGCAAAAGCAAGGGCGAGGGUUGGGUUGUGUACUUUCGUAGUCUUUGUCUGAGAGUAGUGAUGUUUCUUGUGCCCCAGGAAAGCUUGAACCAAGGUAUAGAGAAAGGGCCCCUGAUCCUCCAAAUUUACAGUAGUAAGAGAAGCAAGAAAUAUCUUAGUAGGAAAAGGGGAAACCCUCAGGGCUGGGUCUCGUCCCAGUGACUCUACUACCAGGUCUGGAGAAUGUCACUAGUGGAGGCUCUGGGCAAGUGCCUGGCCACUGCAUUUCCCUGGCCAUAGUAAGAGAUGUGCAGAAUGACCUGCCCUAAGUCUCUGGGCUGUUUGUUUUAUAAACUGCUACCUUCUUCCCCAAAUUGCUGGGAGUGGCUAAGGAAGUGGCACAGAAAUUUAGAUUUUUGUGUCUUUCUUGCCCUUUUCUGUAUUGUCUUUAGUUUUUAGAAGGACUUUCUUGGCUGCCUUCUCCCUCCCCCACCUUGCUCCAUCCUCUCUUGCAAAGUAAAAUCUCAUCUUCCUGCAGGAGGUUAGGUUGUAAAGUUUACACAUAAAGUGAGGAUUCCAAAUAAUCAAAAUUAUCAUGGAAAAUAUCUCAAAUGACCCAGAAAUUAAAGUAUAUAAACAUGGUUUUGUGUAUAUGCCAGAACAAAGUUGGAAUACCAUAUGAAAUAGUUGGCCUGUAAUUAGGAGACAUUUUAUAUGAAAAAAUAAGUAUUCUCAAAAACUAGAAUCAUGUACAGCAUUCAGAAUGCUCACAAUGUGAAGAGGCACACCGGACUUAGACAUGCUAAAGUCUCAGAUUCAAGUCCUCUCAUCUCAUGCUCAUGUUCAUCCUGGUAAAUAACUUCACUUUGGUGUAAAACCUCAUUGAGUGGAAUUGUGAGCAAACUUUUGUACUGUUUAUUUUUCUCUUCCUGGUCAAGUUUGCAUAGUUAAAUGCAAGUAUGUUGUGAUUGUAUUUUAUCCUUCUUUUCUGCUUUCUGUUUUUCUAAUUUCUUCUUCCCUUUUAAAAAUCCUCACUGCCGGGGGCAGUGGCUCACACCUAUAAUCCCAGCACUUUGGGAGGCUGAGGCAGGCGAAUCACUUGAGGCCAGGAGUUUGAAACCAGCCUGGCCAACGUGGUGAAAGCCUCUCUCUACUAAAAAUACAAAAAUUAGCCGGGCGUGAGCCACCUUUCCCGGCCUAACUACUGUUUCUAUAGAAGGAGUUUUCCAGAUUGAUGCCUAAUGUACAAAUAACUGCAUCAUCAGUCCCUGGCUGUCAUCAUUUUGCUGUGCAAAAAGGGAACAUCAGAGAGGGGUCCAGGAGCCACUCCACAUAUCAUUCGUAAAUGUUAUUGCUAAUGGAGAGAGGGAUGAUGGUGGGGGCAGGCGUAUUUGUGUUCAUAGAGGAAGGUAGGACUGUAAUCUCCAUGCCUAGUUUCUGAUUGGCAUUGAUAAUAUAACCAUCUUUCAGAGAGU
rnacentral:lncRNA from 1 species